GCCGUCUUAGCUCAAUUGGCAGAGCAAUUGAUUUGUAAUCAAUAGGUUACUGGUUCGAUUCCGGUAGACGGCACCA
rnacentral:tRNA from 1 species